rnacentral:tRNA from 1 species
GUGGUGGCUCAGUGGUAGAGCACUUGCCUAGCAUGUGUGAGGCACUGGGUUCGAGUCACAGCACCACA